rnacentral:lncRNA from 1 species
UUUUAGGGGUAGAAAUAGGCCACAAAGUUAACGGUGGGGGCAUUUUCUUCGCCAAAGGUAAACGGAGGGCAAUUUUGUUCCGGAUUCGAUAGGUUGAGGGCAGUUUUGACCCUUAACCGUAUAAUAUAAAAUUAAAUGAAGAGAAGAGAAGAAAACUUAGUUAGGCGUCUCCUCCAAGAGUUUUUGUGUUCUCUCCUCUAUAUUGGUGUGUUUUCCUUCAAAGUAAGUUAGAUCCCCUCCAAAUUAUGUUUAGAACCCCUUUUAUGCGAGUUGGGUUAUGUAAGGCCCAAAAGGAUCUUCUCAAAGUCGAAAUAGGAAAAUUCCCAAGAUUGGGCACGCUGGGCAGUGCGUUGCACCAGCCUGCAUGCUGAAAAAUUUAGUCUUCUGUUUCUAGCGCCACAGGAGCGCAUCAUGCUACCCUGGAUGCUGGAAUUUGCCCUUGUCCAUUUUUCUUCUUUUUUAGCUCCAACUCAUGCGCAUUCAAUCUAUUUUACUCCCAAUUAAUUUCUAUACAUAUAAACAUAAAACGUUAGCUCCACUCAUUGCAAUUACACAUUAGAACAACAAAGAAUAGAGCAAAAUGUGAAGCGUAUAUAAAAUACAUGCUUUUGCCGAGUAUUAAUAUACGUACUAUAUUAUGCUGAAAUUUAUGCAUUAUUUUAUAUGAGAUUGAAUGUGAAAUAAAUGGAAUUUAUAUGUCAAGUAAAUGGUUGACUCUUUUGUAACAAAUUUAUCUCGACUCUUUUACAACACAACGAAAUUAUUGGUUUGCAAACUAAUGGCCUGUUUGGAAAGCAUUCUAUAAUUAUUAGGAUAAAUUACUCAGGAUUGUAAUUAUCAAGACUUGUUUUGUUUGCCACAAAGUAAUUACAAUGUAAUUCUUAGUGUCAUAUUUGAUUGUACAAGUGUAAUUUCAAAGUUAGAUAUUUUUUUACUUUAAAAUAAAUUUAAUAAUAAAAAGAUUAAUAAUUUUUCCCAUAUGAACAUGUAAAUAGUUUUAAUGUUUGACGAAUAUAUAUGGAUGUAAGAAAUAUCAAACAUUAUUAGCAGUUAUUAAAAUAAUAUUUUUGUAUAAUUAUAUAAAUAAUUAUAAAUAAAUAAUAAUUGGUACUUCUAAAUAAAUUAUAUUUUAACACAAAUUAAUUAAUAAAAAAUUCAAUGACAAAUUUAAAUCUCAGUUCAACUUAUGUGAAUAUAACAUGAAAUUCAUAAUUAUUGCAUUGUUUAAACUAUAAAAUAUAUUGAUAUAAAUUUACAAAGAAAAUUUUAAUAAUAAUUUUUUACACUAAUUAAUGGAAAUCAAUGCUAGUAAAAUGCGAAAAAGAGAACCAGAAUUUGUAUGCAAACAGAAUAAUUACUAUAGGUGAAUAAUAGUACUGGUGAGAAAAUAAGAAUCCCUAUUUGCAGAGUGCUAAUUAACGAAAAUUAGAAAAAAUUAAGAAGGAAGAAGGAACGAAUAUCACAUUGCUGAAAUGGAAGUGAUCAACUUUAGUAAGAAAAAGUGAGAAGAAUGAAGAAAUGGGAGAGUUUGAAACGGGAAAAGAAGAAUUGGAAAAUCAGAGAGUGUAAUUAUUUUCAUUCUUAGUUAUCUCUUGAGAAUUGUAUGAUGACCAAAUAAUUAUUUGACCAGAUAAAUAAGUAAAUUGUAUAACUACACUUAACUAUAUUAAUAUGCUCUAAAUAUAUUUAGUUCUUACUUACAUGUAUGGUAGAUGCGAUUUAUAUGGUGGUACGCGGUGUUACGGAACAUUGCUUCGUAGAAUUUUUUUACUAUUUAUAUAUAUAAAAAUAUUAAAUAAAAAAUAAAUACAAGAUAAAAUUAUUAAAAGCGACACUACAUGCAACAAAUAUCUUAGUAGUCUAGUGAUUGUUAGCUUCAAAUAUUAUAUAAGAGAUCUUGGGUUCGAAGUCCCUAGGUUCUACAAAUAUUUUUCGACUGUUACAAUUCUUUUACCAGAAAUAUUAUUUUCAAUUGAAUCCGCAGCCCAAAAGCUACCGCAUCUGCAAUUUAAACUACGUACAGACAUAUAUGUGCAUUAAUACGUCGCCGUCAUUUUUACAGAGUUGUGUGAGCAUGGUAAUUAUGGGCGUCUAACGGGCUGGGUCACCCGUUUCUCGACCGGCCCAAAUCGGAAUCGGCCUGACCCGAUAUAAGAAGGCUGGGUUGGGCUGGGUUAAACGGAUAGGGGUUGGUUCGUUUACUUAAGUUCUAUCGGUUAAUCGGAUCGGUCAAACCCGAUAAACCAAAAUCCCUGUAGAACCACUUAAUCGGCCUGGCCCGGACCGAUUCAAAGGCUAGAUUUUAAUUAUUUUUUUAUUUUUUUAAGAUUUUAGAGUCUUAGACAAUGUAAAACCUUUGAAUUUACUUUUUUUAAUUUAAUUUAUUUGUUGUUAAAUGUAAACCUUUUAGUUUAGUUUGAAUUUUGAAAUAAAUGUAACACUUGCAAUUUAUAAGUGCAAUUAUUUUUCCAUCUUCAUUAUAUUCUUUAUAUAUUUUACUUUAUAUUAAUAUAAAUUAUAAUAGUUAUAUAAAAUACAAAAAAAAUAAAAUUAAAUGGCCCGAUUCGAAACCUAUACGGUUCAAAAUUUUUCCUACCCAACCUGAUACGACCCACCCGUUAAACACCCUUAGCUGUAAUAUAGUGUAUUCAGUAAUUGACAUUAGAGAAGUCCUGAGUUUUGUGAAAAAGGUCUUCCAAGACUGUGAUUAAAACCUACGAACUCUUUUCCAGAAUAAAUCACGUUGAAUGGUACCUCCAUUUUCUCUUGACAACUAAUUAUUCCAUGCAAGUUUCAGUUAAAUAUGUAAUUAUCUUGUUCACGCUUUCUACCAACUUAGCAGCACAUCAAAUUUCAUGAACCAACAAAGCAAGUACCACACUUUUACUGGUCAAAAUUCGACCACACGUAAAUUAGUGCUAAAAGAAAUAAUAAGAGGCCGACUAAGCUAUUAUCGUACCUGAAAAGUGUAAUAAAAACGUGUACCUCGGCCAUUUUCGAGAUCGAGCCGUCAAAAAAUUUGUAUGGCAAAGUAAAUCUCGUGAUACUUGAGGGAGGCGAGGUGAAGUACAAUCAAGGAAUAGACUAUAGAGGCAUUCUGGCUAAGGACCGUUGGACAAAAAAGAAUACUGAUAAUAAAUAUAGAAGGUAAGAAGACAAAAAAAUAAAAACUUCCUCUCCUAGAGAGAAGGAAGAGGUAGUGAAUACCAAGAAACAAUUUAGAUAGCAGAUAUAAAUUUCUAUAAUCGUGAUUAUUGAAUCAAUAAAGAUAGAUUUCGUUACUGUGAACGAUAUUCCAUCUUUUCUGUCUUUAUCACUACAUUCUGGAAUAAUGUAAAGAAUUUAAGCCUAUUAUCUGUAUAUUAUAUUUUAU